GGGUUGCGGCGGGCGGAACGGUGUCUCCUUCACUUCGCCCUCCAGCUGCUGCAGCUGCAGCCCGACCGCGAGCGUGCCAAGCGGCUUCAGCAGCUAGCGGAGCGGUGGCGGCGGCCCCCCUCAGGACACCACCAGAUUCCCCUUUUCCCGCGGCCUCGCCAUGGCGACCCACGGACAGACUUGCGCGCGUCCAAUGUGUAUUCCUCCAUCAUAUGCUGACCUUGGCAAAGCUGCCAGAGAUAUUUUCAACAAAGGAUUUGGUUUUGGGUUGGUGAAACUGGAUGUGAAAACAAAGUCUUGCAGUGGCGUGAUAUCACAAUUUCUGGCUGUAGUCUCUUUAUUAUUUUCACAUCAGCUGUCUUCCUUAGGCUUGGCGUGGUGAUGCUUGUGAUCCCAGCUACUCAGGAGGCUGAGGUACGUGGAUCACUUGAGCCUGGGAGGUUGAGGUGCAGUCAGCUGUGAUCACAUCAUUGUGUUCCAGCUUGGGUGACAGAGGCGAGAUGCUGUCUCAAAAAAAAAAAAAAAAAUUCAGAUAAGCCCUCCGUAUUUUUUCUUUUUCAGUUCGUGUGCAACCAGGGAUUGGCACAUUAUUAUUUUUAGACAGGGUCUCACUGUGUCACCCAUGCUGAGUGCAUUGGUGGGAUUAUGGCUCACUGUAGCC
rnacentral:sRNA from 1 species